UAAGGGGUCCUAAAAGCGUGACCAAGUCGGCCCUAGGUUGUGCACAGAAGACACAUCAAGCCCUGGAAGAGGAGAGCCAGGUAGGGUGACGCACAGAUCCUGUUCGGCAGGACAGCCCUCACACACACGGGCGCUGCAGGGAGGGGAAAGGGCUGCCUGCGGGAAACCCCCGCACGCUGCACCCACGCACCCACCCCCCGCCAGCCCGGUCCUCUGGGACCGGGCAAGACCCACGCGAGGGGAGGCACCCGCAGACCCCGCACCCACGGGGCGCGCCCAAGGGAACCGACGCUGAGGGCGGCAAGCGGGUGGGAGGCCCGUGGGGAAACUCCGCGGGGAGCGCACCCCCCCACGCAAGCCGGCUGGGCUGAAGGGGAGGACAGGGGGAGGACGGGGGACGCACCCCCCCCCACGCACACACACACAGAGCCGCGACCCGCGGGGUCGGAGCUCCGGACACGAGUGUGGUGGGUCUUCCCCGGGGAAAAAAGGACAACGCCGUGUCACAAAGAAAAGCCGUGACGAGUGCUGGUGCCACAGGAGAAUGUCCCAUCCCUGGGAAUUAAAGCCCUCCAUGAAGAAGAAUCCAAGCACUGGUUACAUAAAUCAAAAUUUAAGACCAAUUAAAAAAAAAAAAAUACGCUUCCCACACAUGCUUUCCCCAUUGCCCACAUCCUCCUCCCCAUCUUCCCUCUGCCUCCUCCUGCUGCCUGGGACCAGGAGCAUGGGCACUGCUGUGAUGUUGGCGUAAUUGGAGUAUUCAGGCUGCUAUUUUGUACCUGUCUGUUUAUUUGAGAGACAGCCUCAACCUUGUAAUGAAUGCAUCUGAAUAUUUAUCUGCUUGUUCUGAAUGGUAUAUUUGUAUUUCAAAUGCUUAAUUGUUAUUUUUAUUUAGCUGCAAAUUGCUGUUUUUAUUUCAUUGGCGUACCUACUUGGAAACCUCUCUAGCGUGAGGUUAAUGCUGAGCUUUUCUCUAUUCCUGAUUAGUUUUUUUUAAUUAAUCCAAUGCUCAUAAGAGCAUAAGGACUCUGCAAACCCCUUCUAGCUUGUCAUGGCUGUCUAAGAUGUGAAGACGGUGGAAUCAGCCCCAGAAAAAUCUGGCUUGUCUGGAGGAACGGGGAGAGAGCAAACCGGCCAGGACCGUGAAAGAAACGUGGGCAGGACCCAGGGAGACGGGAAACCCCAGUGACCAGGAGUAGCUCAGUUCUCCUGUGCUGAACCUGGAGGACCAGCUAGCAGUGCUUCUCCAAAAUGCCUUUUUUUCCCCCCCUACCUAGAUUUCUCCCCCAUCCCUAGCAGCUGAGGAUGCUUGAUCCCCAGGGCAGCACCCUGCAGCCCUCCAUCAGGAGGAUGCAGACGUGCCAGGCUGGUGCCUUUAGCCUUUUUCCCCUCGAUAAAAUCCUGCCUUGCACACGCUGCUGACCCCAGCAACAUCUCUCCUUGAAGAUGAAACACUCCUGGGACCGGUUCCUAGUGCCGUGGCUGGCUGGUGUGGGACAACCUCAACACAAGGGCCAGAAAGACCUUCUCUCUGCCCAUUCCCAUCUAGCUGGGGGUGCAGCUCUUCCCAUAAAGGAUUUUAAAGUGCAUCUGGCUGAGAGCACCUACAGAGCAAGACUGAACUGUAAGACCUGGCCUUGUGAAUAAAUCCUUCAUGACACAUUUGGUUGCCCAUGCUCUGAGCUCACAUGAGGAUUGGACUGUACAGUCAACUUGAACUUUUAAAGUCAAUUUGGUUUUUUAGAUAAAGGAACAAAGUAAUAAAAGGAGAAAAAGAGGGAAGAAAAA